rnacentral:rRNA from 1 species
UACAGAGGUCUCAAGCGUUGUUCGGAUUCAUUGGGCGUAAAGGGCGCGUAGGCUGCGGGGCAAGGCGGGUGUGAAAUCUCAGAGCUCAACUCUGAAACUGCACUCGAUACUGCUUUGCUUGAGGACUGGAGAGGAGAUUGGAAUUCACGGUGUAGCAGUGAAAUGCGUAGAUAUCGUGAGGAAGACCAGUGGCGAAGGCGGAUCUCUGGACAGUUCCUGACGCUGAGGCGCGAAGGCCAGGGGAGCAAACGGG